rnacentral:tRNA from 1 species
CGACCGCGUUGUGCAGGCGGCGCAGCGUGCCGUUGCGGUCGGCAUCGGAGAUCCGCAUCUCGGCCGGUUCGACGGAUCGCCCGUGGUUGA